rnacentral:snRNA from 1 species
AGAACAACCUGUCAGGAGAGAUCCCAUGACCAUGAAGGUGGUUUUCCCAGGGCUAGGCUUAUCCAUCGUACUGCAGAUGUGCUGACACCUGUCAUUUUCCCAAAUGUGGGAAACUGGACUGCAUAAUUUGUGGUAGUGGGGGACUAUGUUCAUGUUCUGUCC